rnacentral:rRNA from 1 species
ACCGGCGGCUCGAGUGGUGGCCACUAUUACUGGGCUUAAAGCGUUCGUAGCUGGCUUGUUAAGUCUCUGGGGAAAUCUUCCGGCUCAACCGGAAGGCGUCUCAGGGAUACUGGCAGGCUAGGGAGCGGAAGAGGGGAGAGGUACUCCAGGGAAGGGAUGGCAACGCUGCAACCCCUGGGGUGCGACACGAGGGGAGGGGGACCCAACAGGAUUACCCCGACAGUGGGGAGCGAAACUUGGGGGAACAAGGAG